rnacentral:rRNA from 1 species
AUUGAACGCUGGCGGCAGGCCUAACACAUGCAAGUCGAGCGGAUGAAGGGAGCUUGCUCCUGGAUUCAGCGGCGGACGGGUGAGUAAUGCCUAGGAAUCUGCCUGGUAGUGGGGGAUAACGUCCGGAAACGGGCGCUAAUACCGCAUACGUCCUGAGGGAGAAAGUGGGGGAUCUUCGGACCUCACGCUAUCAGAUGAGCCUAGGUCGGAUUAGCUAGUUGGUGGGGUAAGGCCUACCAAGGCGACGAUCCGUAACUGGUCUGAGAGGAUGAUCAGUCACACUGGAACUGAGACACGGUCCAGACUCCUACGGGAGGCAGCAGUGGGGAAUAUUGGACAAUGGGCGAAAGCCCGAUCCAGCCAUGCCGCGUGUGUGAAGAAGGUCUUCGGAUUGUAAAGCACUUUAAGUUGGGAGGAAGGGCAGUAAGUUAAUACCUUGCUGUUUUGACGUUACCAACAGAAUAAGCACCGGCUAACUUCGUG